rnacentral:rRNA from 1 species
UAAGGAAUAUUGGUCAAUGGACGCAAGUCUGAACCAGCUAUGCCGCGUGGAGGAUGAAGGUCCUCUGGAUUGUAAACUUCUUUUAUCUGGGACGAAACACUUCUUUUCUAAGAGGCCUGACGGUACCAGAUGAAUAAGCACCGGCUAACUCCGUGCCAGCAGCCGCGGUAAUACGUAGGGUGCGAGCGUUAAUCGGAAUUACUGGGCGUAAAGCGUGCGCAGGCGGUCGUGCAAGACAGAUGUGAAAUCCCCGGGCUCAACCUGGGAACUGGAUUGGUGAAGGCACGGAUGGAGUACGGCAGAGGGGGAUGGAAUUCCGCGUGUAGCAGUGAAAUGCGUAGAUAUGCGGAGGAACACCGAUGGCGAAGGCAGUCCCCUGGGCCUGUACUGACGCUCAUGCACGAAAGCGUGGGGAGCAAACA